UACGUAGGGAGCAAGCGUUGUUCGGAUUUACUGGGCGUAAAGGGCGCGUAGGCGGCAAAUUAAGUCAGCUGUGAAAUCUCCGAGCUUAACUCGGAACUGUCAGCUGAUACUGAUCUGCUAGAGUGCGGAAGGGGCAAUCGGAAUUCUUGGUGUAGCGGUGAAAUGCGUAGAUAUCAAGAGGAACACCUGAGGUGAAGACGGGUUGCUGGGCCGACACUGACGAUGAGUGCGCGAAAGCCAGGGGAGCAAACGGG
rnacentral:rRNA from 1 species